UAUUAAUCUCUCUCUUCCCUUUUGUCCCGUCCAUGAUAAUUAUUGUUGUUAUUUAACAAUUGUAGACAUGAGCUCAUGUUAAAAUGAAUAAAUAGGGAAUAAAAUGGUAAUAACCAUAUAUAUUCUCGAGCGAAAUAGACGAGGCCACCUAGGGAACACAUGAAGUUAUGUAGGAGCAGUGAUGAGAAUGAAAUGACUAAUAAUAUUAAGAAAGACAUUAAUAAUGUUAAUAUUAGCAAUUAAUUUGUGUAAUUUAUUAUGAUAACUAUACUGCUAUGUACAUGAUAUAAUGUUGAUAUGUUUUAAAUGUGUGUUGUGUUCUGUCCUUAUACCGUGUCUAGGUCAGUCUCCCUGGCGUGCGCGCACAGACAUAUAGUCAAAUCCGAGCAGCGAGCCAUAAGAUCUGUUAUGACGUCACGUUCAGAGUUCUAUAAGUUUCCUGAUGGUAUGCUUGACGGUUGUUCCCUUUAUGACGCCGCGAAUGUCGAGGUUUUUAAACGUUGUGGUAUCUGAGCUGGCCUCUGUAUUCAUUUGAACGGAGUAGUGUUUAAUCAUUGGUCUAUCUAACCUUUUCAUGUGCUUAGUUUCUUUGUUUGUUCAUCUGUCGUGUUUAAGAAUGGACGUUGAAAUAAUAUAUCCAGAUAUCUGUACAGCUGCUUUGUGACAAUGUAAACUUUAAAAAAAAAAACCAACAUUUCAAUGUCUAGAGAAGAGGGUGCGUUCUUUAAAAAAUAAAUCAUAAUGAUGAUGCUGUGAAACAGUUCAGAAGCUCCGUGUAUUGUCCUUGAUACGUGAAAACUAGACAAUGCACAGUAAUAACGCUGAUGAGCUGCGUCAGUGUAAAAUAGCCCAAACCUACCUUCUGUUUCAGGCGGCGUUGUGCUGGAUGGAGCUUGACUGCCCUCGUGUGUCCAAACUCAGGAACGGCAGUUUCCCUGAAGCGGUAUUCUGUUCCAAGUUUGUGAUCUGGAUGUUCAGCUGGUCUCAGAUCAAGCAUCCUCCUCUGUAUUGACUCCACUAUCCCCAGCUUCAUCCCAUUCAUCAGAUUCCACAAUUGUCCUGGAGUCCAGAAGAAAGAGAAGGAACCCAACAGUUAAUGGAGCAGAAUGAAGCAAGACAGAAAGUUGAUUGUGUUCUGAGGGUCAAUCCAAAGGGUGAGGAAAUCUUCAAGGAGUAUGAAAAGUCCAAAACACUAACAUGUCUGCAACCAGGACGUUCACCAUCUGUUUACGUGUGGCAUAUGUUAGAGCUACAUGGGUAAGAAUUGGAGGUCACUUCCCUCCCUUUGUCAUCACAACAGAUUCAUGUGACGCAGCUA